ensembl:snoRNA snoRNA:Or-CD2
AUUUCAAUGAUGAUCACUUAAACCAUUCACAGACACCAUAUAAAGGUCAAGCGCUGGCAAUCUUCUUCAAUAUUCUUUUGGAGAUAGAGCGUCUUGUUUGACUGGUUAUGGGCCCUGGUUAAAAACUUGGCACUGAGCUU